ACCAGCCUCAAAUAGCUGCACCCUGUUGCUAGGCUACCUGGCUGCCUUCCACACAUCCCAGAGCUGCUGGAAAGCUCACAGCAAAUUGCAGCUCACAUGGAUGGAAAAACAUCUCAGCAACAAUCCAUAUGGAAAAGGAUUUGGAUAUACUUUGGAGGCAAGGAAGAAAUGAUAAGAUCUUGGGAAUAAAAAGGUGUGUGGUUAUUGGGCUUCUCCCCACCCCAGACUGCACAGGAUUCCUGAAGAGGCUCCUGGGGCACUGCAGAAGGAGCAUUUGC
rnacentral:lncRNA from 1 species